CUCAGACCAAACUAAAACACACGCAUACAACAACAGUAGCCAUUCUUUCUCUGCAGAUCUAAAAACACAUAGAAACUCAAAUCCUCGAACUUCCAUCUCAAACAUACAGACAUCCACAAUCAAUCACUCCAUACCCUUCCUCUCGUGCUCCUCUCUGUCUCGUUACAGCCAGCCGGCGACUAACUGGCCGAUGUCGGCUGUUCUCUGGGUGCCGGCGGUACUGUUUUCUCCGUCUACCGACCUCAUCUAAACCCUCCUACACCCCCUUCAUCAGUAUAGAGAUGACCACCACCACCACCACCAUCGGGUGGUGGUGAGCGACGGAUGGACCGAGAAAUCGAGGAGAGAGUGAGAGAAAGCUGAGAGAUUGAGAGUGAAAGAGAGACCGGAGGAGGGUGGUGACGGCGACAGCCGGCGCCGUCUGCGGAGGAGCGAUGGAGGAGACAAUGAUGGUGGUGGGUUAUUUUUCAACAUAUUUCUGAUAUUGAAGAUGGUGGUAGUGGUGCGACACCACCGUCGGAAACCUCUGGCCGACUGAUGGUGACGACCGUGGAGGUGGUUUCGGGUCAAGAUAUUCAAGCUCGGUUUAAAUUUCGUACUCGUAUUCUGAUUUGUUUCAAGGUUUGGUUCGGGUUACUCAGAUUCACGUUGGUUUGGGGCUUACAAGAAAACAAGGGUGAUUCGGGCAGUGAUUCAGUUCAACAGGUUCGGAUGUAGGUUAAAACGAGUAAAUUCUGCUUCCGUUCGGGUCAACUCGGUCAAACCGAGUCGACUCGGUCAACACCCGAGUCAACUCGGGUCAACAGGGGUAAAACAGGUCAACGCCAGUCAAACAUCAACUCGGGUCAACCCUUGGUCAAAGAUGGUCAAACUCGGUCAACUGAGGUCAAACUCAGUCAACACGAGACGCGGAAUGCUUUAGUUGCACGCUAGCGAGGUCACGUUCUUGGAACGGCACUACGGAAACACGCUAGGCUAGCUUUGCACCGGAAUGUCAACGUUACAUUUUUCAAACUAUGGAACGGUUGGAAUAGGAGAACCCACGAGAUUUCGAGUACCUAGCAGGCGUUCACUGUUUAGAAGUCUUAGCCUUUUGCUUCCGCUGUGCAAUGAAGAUACCGGUCCAGUCACGCCAAGCUCUGAUAUUUCGGGGUGUGACAACCAGUUUGCAAAUUAAUAUAUAACAGGUAAUUAAACAACAAUUAUAUUACCAAACAUUUAUUUUUAACAUCACUUGGAACACUAGUUUGACAGGCAUGUAGUAUUGCAUACACAUAGAACAACGUACGUGCAUAGCUAGAAAUAUUCGCUUAUCAAACACACAAUAAGCACAAGAAAAAUAAAUUACAACAAAGAUAUUUGUUAACACGGACAAACACCAUGCAUUUAGUGUUCAAUCUUAAAUAGCUAAUGGGUGAACCAAUAGCGAUUUGAUGUGAUUUAUCAUCUCCUUCCUAGCAUGAGUGUAGCUGUCGUUGACUUUCAAUAUAAUAAAUGUUAGUAAUUAUGUUUCCAUCAUUUCAUUUUACUGUUUGCAGUUACUGUGUUUUAUUUUCAGAUUCAUCUGUUUUAUGGUGUACCACGUCCCAUCUUGACGGCUGUAAUUAUGGCGUUUUGUUUUCCAAUGGCGUUUAGAUAAAGAAGGCACUUGUUGUUUUAUUCUCUUUGCACAUUGUUUUAACCUUUUUAAGAUUUAUUAUAAUAGUACUUGUUCAA